AGUGGCGGACGGGGGAGUAACGCGUGGGUAACCUGCCUCAUACAGGGGGAUAACAGUUAGAAAUGACUGCUAAUACCGCAUAAGACCACGGCACCGCAUGGUGCAGGGGUAAAAACUCCGGUGGUAUGAGAUGGACCCGCGUCUGAUUAGGUAGUCGGUGGGGUAACGGCCUACCAAGCCGACGAUCAGUAGCCGACCUGAGAGGGUGACCGGCCACAUUGGGACUGAGACACGGCCCAA
rnacentral:rRNA from 1 species